GUCCGGAUGACGAGUCCCAAAUAGGACGAAACAAGUGUCAUAGAC
rfam:Schistosoma mansoni, Puerto Rico, WGS project CABG01000000 data, contig: 0010